AAAAAAGUAAGGGAUUUAGGUAGUAUUAGAGGACUUAAAACUUAAAAAUUUUGGCGGUGUUUUAAUCUUAUUAGAGGAAUCUGUUCUGUAAUCGAUAAUACACGACGUAUCUGACUUGAGUUAAGUUUGUAUAUCGUUGUGACAAUAAUGUUUUAUAAUGAUUAUUGAAGGUAAUUUUAUUUUUGAUAUCAGAUCAAGGUUCAGCUUAUGCUUAAGGAAAGAAUGGAUUACAAUAUAAAAAUAUAUUUACGGAUACUAUUUUUAGAAAUAAAAUGAAGGAGGAUUUAAAAGUAUUUUUAUAAUAAUAUGUUAAAUUGAAUUAGCUCUAAAACAUGC
rnacentral:rRNA from 1 species